UGACUUGUUUUAUUUCAACUUUAAGUGGGUAGGGUAUACAGGGGAAGUACUGUAUAGUCAAGAUCUAGUGUAUUUGUGAAUUGCACACCAAUGUACUUUUGAGUUACUGUAAAUACCUAUUUGAGAACAAUUCAUGAUCAUAUGAUAAAAUCAAUUAACAUGCAAAAGAAACAAAAACUCUGAACUAACGUUUAAUACUAAUCACAGCCAAAUCCUGAAACGGCUCAACAUAAUAUACCUUACUAUAAGGAGGGAGAACAAAAACAUGCUAUUUUUUUGUAUAUAAUUUUACACAUGGGAACAAGAACCAGUUGAGUGUAAUAACAUUCCAUUGUUCACUCAUCGAAUAACAGGAAAUGUAGUCGGCAAGAGUGGAGGAAGAGAGAAAGGUACCAGCAAUACAACUCCGUCGGCAGAAGGUCCUGAAGGAGGAAACCGAGGCAAAGGAGGAUGGUGCUGCUAAACAGAAUUCCAGGUGUAGCACUUCUCUCAUCCUUUAAAAACAAGAAAGGGACAGUGACGCGGCCCUGGCAACAACACCAAAAAGAAAACAACACAUCAAGAAGUGCAAAAUCGAGGAUGUAUGAUCGGCAGCCUAGUCUGUGCAAGUCCGAUCUGUGAUGGAUUUGUUAUUAUAAAUGUACAGUACCGUUCAAAAGUUGGGGUCACUUAGAAAUGUCCUUGUCUUUGAAAGAAACACAUUUUUAUCCAUUAAAAUAACAUAAAAUUGAUCAGAAAUACAGUG